rnacentral:rRNA from 1 species
UACGUAGGGUGCAAGCGUUUGUCCGGAAUUAUUGGGCGUAAAGAGCUCGUAGGCGGUCUGUCGCGUCUGCUGUGAAAACUCAGGGCUUAACCCUGAGCUUGCAGUGGGUACGGGCAGACUAGAGUGCGGUAGGGGAGACUGGAAUUCCUGGUGUAGCGGUGAAAUGCGCAGAUAUCUGGAGGAACACCGGUGGCGAAGGCGACAUCCUGGACCGGUAUUGACGCUGAGGCGCGAAAGCCAGGGGGAGCAA